rfam:Stegodyphus mimosarum contig96549, whole genome shotgun sequence.
GACUUCGUGGUGUAGUGGUCAGCACGUUCGGCGCGUGUUCGGGAGGUCCGUGGUUCGAGUCCCGGCGAGGGCA